GCGUUUGAGAGACCUUGGCAGGGCUCAGUUGGAAACAAUCUCCUCCCUUUGCAAACCAGAGCAGGGAGACCCAAGCAGUCUACUUCCGAGGCAGGCCCUUCCCCGUGGCUGAGGCAGGGAGGGUCUCCUCAUGAGGACGUGGCUCUGCGACUUUACUUUCACUGGAAACGGAAGCUGUCUGUGUUUCCACCUUGCAUGCUUGUCGGGGGAUGUAGGCUGUUGAUGACCAGGAUGAAAAAUUUAUAUGGGGAGGUGUCAGGAGAACAUUUCAGGAGCCCGGGACUCCAACCUGCCGGCUCUUUCCAAGCUGGAAAUACCUUCUCCUGAGCCACGGUGAUGGACGUGAGGAGAGAAGGACUCAGGGCAGCGUCUGGGGUGCUGACCCCAGCCAUCGACGUGAGACGCUGGCCCUGCAGUGCAGCCCAGCCCCUCAGUGGUGAAUCAGUGCAUGUGGACACAGGACUGUCAUGAUGCAAACCCUCUGGAGAAAAUACUGGAAGAGAAAAAUCUGGUCUUCAUUCUCUCUGACUGUCCCAAGGUGAACCCUGGGCUUCAAGGAGAUUCCUCUACCCCGGGGCACCAAAAGUCAGAGGCCUUCAGUUCAGCUGCAUGUCAGAAUUCCUCAACAGAAAUGUCUUGGAAUAUCAGUUCCUGGGCCCCACCCUCAGAGCAUCCUACCUCUGUUGAUCUGAGGUUGGGGGGAAUCCUGUGUGGCGGAGCACUGGGCAAGUGGACGAGGUGGGGCAGCCCCAGGCCCGGGCAUCACUUGUGUAAAGUCUUCCAGGUGAUACUGACACAUGGGCAGACCCAAGAGACACUGUCCUAAGCAUCGCUCUUCCUGCCACUCUGCUUCAGAAGGUCCUUUCCCUUCACCACGGAACAGCCCAUCUGCCUCCUUCUCAUCAUGGAAUCAUCAUGGAAUCCCCUUCCAAGCCCGUCUCAUGUGGGCUUUUCCUUGAAACUUUCUCCCUCCUCCAGCCCAACCAGGCCCGAUGCCUUGGUCACUCGAAUACUCAUAGUGUUUACUUCCCGCUGUUACUUCCCCUCUCGGGCCUCAUGUGAUGGUGGUUGGCCAGGUAGCCUGACCACACGAUGAUGGUGUGUGCUUAGAAAGGACCUCACGGACAUCUUGCCCAACUUCUGGCUCUGUGAGGGAGCAAGGCUCAGGCAGUAUUGGGUCUGAGUUCGCAGCUUGGUGUCCUGUUAUCCCUUUUCUAAAUUAAAAAGGCUGGAAUUGAUUCCAGUUCAAAUUCUAAGGCCACUCUUCUUGCACCUCCCUAGCUGUGUACUUCACAUCACUUUAAAAUGCUUUGCAGAAUGGGACUUCCCCGCAGUCCAGUGGUGAAGGCUCUGCGCUCCCACUGCAGGAGGCAUGGGUUCAAGCUCUGUCUGGAAACUAAGAUUCCACAGGCAGCACUGCAUGGCCAAAAUAAAUAGAUAAAAUGAAAUGUUUUGUAGAAAAUCAAUUCUAUAAUCACGUUGUAGAACAGAAGCAUGUUGUUCAGAUAUUACAUCUGAGUAUUAAUUAACUGCUACAAAUCACAAUCCAUAGCUACAAAUACAAUCCAAUAUUUUCAAAACAACCCAAUUUUUUCGAAAAAAAAACCCUGAUUGACUUAGAUUUCAGUUUCUAAGUUUACUACAUGAAAUACACUUUUAAAGAAUAAGCUGCUACACUUUGGGGGCUUCCCUGGUGGCUCAGAUGGUUAGGAAUCCACUUGCAAUACACGAGACCUGGGUUCGAUCCCUGUGUCAGGAAGAUCCCCUGGAGGAGGGCAUGGCAACCCACUCCAGUACUCUUGCCUGGAGAAUCCCAUGGACAGAGGAGCCUGGCAGGCUACAGCCUACUGGGUUGCAGAGUCAGACACAACUGAGAGGCUAACACAUACUUUGCUUCUGGGAGAUGAGGUCUUUUGCUGGUUUCUCUCACUGGGCUCGGGCAGUGGUUUCAGUUGAACAGUGAAUGAGCAGCUCCAUCAUCCUUUCUUACCUUCCUCUCCUCCCCAAAUGCUCUAAUCCCUGUAGCUGUGCUCUAAAGUCUUAUGUAUUGGUCCCUGAUACUGUAAUUACAAUAAACGGAUAACCAGGGAUGUGGAAAACGACCAUUUGCUCCUUUGUAAAGUUCUUCAUGUCUUGCUGGUCUGGAUGUCAGUAUUCCUACCUCCACGAACUUAGGGUACCAGGGGACAGAAGAUACACCAUUCUCUGCACCACUAAGGAUGAAAGAUCUGGGACAAAUAAAUGGGCGAGCUGUCCAUGUAAGAUGCCAUUGACCAGCCACCUGCGCCUGAAAACAUCAAAAGAUAUGUGUUCUAGGACCUCUGAGGUGGGGAGAUCCAGUUCAUCCUUGCUUCCUCCCUAGGAGUUGCACAUUGACUCCAUUUUCACCUCCCGUGGUUGUCCAGAGUGGAUUCUGGAUCCUAGGUCCAGGAUCCUUAAUAGUGGCCACGUCACCUUGCUCCUCCUCUUGUAUAAUUUAUUGGGUUACUUUGCACCCAAAGAGGCAUUGUGUUAAUUGCUCAGUCAUGUCCGACUCUUUGCGACCCCAUGGGCUAUAGCUCGCCAGGCUCCUCUGUUCGUGGGAGUCUCCAGUCAUUACCAUUCCGUAAGAAGGGAGUUUUUCAUUUGGUACAAGGCGCUUUUAUUGUGUAGCUGUAGCACAGUCCAGGAGCUUGAAGACGUGGUCUCUUUAAGAGUCAAGUUCAGUGGUACUCCAUCAGCUCUUCUGGGAGCCUUUUCUGAACUCCUCAGUGACUUCCAUGGCAGUAACUGAAGUUAUUUCCUGUGACAGAAACUUCAUUACAUGAUCCCCUUUUGAAACACCAUGAUGUUUCUCAGUUG
ensembl:lncRNA